UACGAAGGGGGCUAGCGUUGCUCGGAAUCACUGGGCGUAAAGCGCACGUAGGCGGAUUGUUAAGUCAGGGGUGAAAUCCUGGAGCUCAACUCCAGAACUGCCUUUGAUACUGGCGAUCUCGAGUCCGGGAGAGGUGAGUGGAACUGCGAGUGUAGAGGUGAAAUUCGUAGAUAUUCGCAAGAACACCAGUGGCGAAGGUGGCUCACUGGCCCGGUACUGACGCUGAGGUGCGAAAGCGUGGGGAGCAAACAGG
rnacentral:rRNA from 1 species